rnacentral:rRNA from 1 species
CCAAUAGCGUAUAUUAAAGUUGUUGCAGUUAAAAAGCUCGUAGUUGAAUUUCGGGAUUGACGUGAUGGUCGUGCCUUAAGGGGUAUGAACUGUCGCUGUUGAUUUCUCACCUUCUGGAGAAACUUGAUGUCCUUAAUUGGGUGUCUUGCGGAUCCAGGACCUUUACCUUGAAAAAAUUAGAGUGUUUAAAGCAGGCAUUUUUGCUCGAAUACAUUAGCAUGGAAUAAUAGAAUAGGACGGCAUGGUUCUAUUUUGUUGGUUUCUAGGAUCACCGUAAUGAUUAAUAGGGAUAGUUGGGGGCAUUAGUAUUCAAUUGUCAGAGGUGAAAUUCUUGGAUUUAUUGAAGACUAACUACUGCGAAGGCAUUUGCCAAGGAUGUUUUCAUUAAUCAAGAACGAAAGUUAGGGGAUCGAAGACGAUCAGAUACCGUCGUAGUCUUAACCAUAAACUAUGCCGACUAGGAAUCAGACGAUGUUAAUUUUUUAAUGACUCGUUUGGCACCUUACG